GUCGUGCGCGGCCCCGCGGCCGUGCGCGCCCACGAGGUCCCCAGGGGCGGGGCGCGCAGGCGCAGAAGGCGGCGCUUUUGGCGUGGACUGGGCUGGUGGUUUUGAGGCUCGGGCCCCGCAGGUCCGAUGCGAGAGGCCGCGGGACCUCUUCUUCCUGCCAGACCCGUUUGCCUCCUCGAUUUGCAGAAGGGACGACCUGGCCCCCUUCGGAGCCGGCAUUUCUUCCCCAUCAAGGACGCUCUUGAGUCCCAAAGGGGACAGAAGGGACAUUGCUGGGGCAUCUUCAGCUACAGGGGUCUGUGCCAGGGGAGCGGACGGACGUGCCCCCACACUAGGGAUCGCUUUGUGUGAAGCUGAGCAAGUACAGAAAUUUAAUCCUAACAUCCCCACGGAGACGUGCAGCGGAAGCAAGGGAGGCGCCUCGAGCUCCAAGAGAGGGAGACGCAGAAUCCGAAGCAGGCUCCAGGCUCUGAGGGGGGGUCAGCACAGAGCCCCACGUGGGGCUCGAACUCAGGAGCUGCGCAACUGUGAGAUCAUGACCUGAGCCGAAGUCGGACGCUCAACGACUGAGCCACCCAGGUGCCCUUGGUAGAGAUGACUUAAAAAACAAACAAAAAAAAGUCUUAGAAUUAUGAAAACAACUCUUCCAAUGUUAAUGAAAAGGUCCCGGACACUUUCAGAAACCAGAAACCAACAGAAACCCAGUUUUCACAGCGCAAGAUACAGAGGAACCCCAAGAGCUCUGGGAAGGAGGAAAGGCUGGAAGGGAAAGAGGAACGAGUGGAGGGACGACAAGAGACUCAAGGGGAGAAGAAAUGUCCGAAGGGGAACGGCAAGUGCACGUGACCCGGAGAGCAGCAGCCCUCAGAAGCACCCAGUGCUGCCUGCACCGGCCUCUCUGUCCAUGAUGACGUCCACGCUUGGUCCUUUGUCCAGUCCUCCCGUCCUCCCUCGGCCUUGCCCUCGUAAACCUGGUGCCUUUCCCCCGACACGAGUUUCUGAGCUUGUCGAGCGCACAGGCUGUCUUCCCUGUUGGUUGGCUCCCCUGGUACCAUGGACUGAAUUGUCCCCCGCACCCCCGUGCCUCCCCCAGUUCCUGUGUUAAAGCCCUAACCCUCAAGGGGAUGGCAUUUGGAGGUGGGGCCUUUGGGAGGGAAUUAGGUUUAGAUGAAGUCGUGAGAGUGGAGUCCUCACGAUGGGGUUAGUGCCCCUGUGAGGAGACAAAGGGGGACCAGAGCUCUGUCCCUGCCCCGUGGGGACACAGAGAAGGUGACUGGAGAAAGAAGGUGAUUUUAUUAAAGCAUGGGGACGGGACGUGUGGGCAGAAAGAGCUGCUGUGGGGAAGGUGAUGGGAGAGACCCUCACCAGGAACGAAUCUGCCGGCACCUUGUUCUUGGACUUCCCGGCCUCCAGACUGUGAGCAGCAAACACGAAUUGUGAAGCCAGUCAGCGUGUGGGGUUUUGUGAGAGCAGCCUGAGCUGACUAAGACGUGCGGGGUUCUCGGGGACCACAUGUUUAAUAGGGGUCCCCAUGAGGGGUGCUGUCGAGAUCACAGCAAUACGGACUUUGGGUUAGAGAGAUGGUGGCCGGGGGGGCGGGGGG